AUUGAACGCUGGCGGCAGGCCUCACACAUGCAAGUCGGGCGAGCUGCGGACGGGUGAGUAAUGUAUGGGGAUCUGCCUGAUGGCGGGGGAUAACUACUUGACACGGUAGCUAAUACCGCAUACCAUCAAAUUAACCCCUAUGGGAUUAACUAGUAGGUGAGGUAACGGCUUACCUAGGCGACGAUCCCUAGCUGGUCUGAGAGGAUGAUCAGCCACACUGGGACUGAGACACGGCCCAGACUCCUACGUGAGGCAGCAGUGGGGAAUAUUGCACAAUGGGCGCAAGCCUGAUGCAGCCAUGCCGCGUGUAGGAAGAAGGCCUUCGGGUUGUAAAGUACUUUCAGUCGGGAGGCGUUACCGACAGAAGAAGCACCGGCUAACUCCGUGCCAGCCGACGCGGUAAUAC
rnacentral:rRNA from 1 species